UACGUAGGGUGCAAGCGUUGUCCGGAAUUAUUGGGCGUAAAGGGCUCGUAGGCGGUUUGUCACGUCGGGAGUGAAAAACUCAGGGCUUAACCCUGAGCCUGCUUCCGAUACGGGCAGACUAGAGGUAUGCAGGGGAGAAUGGAAUUCCUGGUGUAGCGGUGAAAUGCGCAGAUAUCAGGAGGAACACCGGUGGCGAAGGCGGCGCUCUGGACCGAGACUGACGCUGAGGCGCGAAAGCGUGGGGAGCAAACAGG
rnacentral:rRNA from 1 species